GACGAACGCUGGCGGCGUGCUUAACACAUGCAAGUCGAACGAUGAAGCCGGAGCUUGCUCUGGUGAAUUAGUGGCGAACGGGUGAGUAACACGUGAGUAACCUGCCCUUGACUCUGGGAUAACUGCUAGAAAUGGUAGAUAAUACCGGAUACGACCCUCGGAGGCAUCUCCAGGGGGUGGAAAGAAUUUCGGUCAAGGAUGGACUCGCGGCCUAGCAGCUAGUUGGUGAGGUAACGGCUCACCAAGGCGACGACGGGGAGCCGGCCUGAUAGCGUGACCGGCCACACUGGGACUGUAACUCGGCACGGACGCCGACGGGAGGCAGGAGUGGGGAAUAUUGCACAAUGGGCGCAAGCCUGAUGCAACAACGCCGCGUGAGGGAUGACGGCCUUCGGGUUGUAAACCUCUUUUAGUAGGGAAGAAGCGAAAGUGACGAUACCUGCAGAAAAAGCACCGGCUAACUACGUGCCAGCCGCCGCCGUAA
rnacentral:rRNA from 1 species